rnacentral:siRNA from 1 species
GAGUGAAGACUCAUAUUGUGGA